rnacentral:rRNA from 1 species
AUGGGGAUCCCGAGCCCGAGCGACGAGGUGGUCCAAAUCGUGCACGGGGACGGCGCGGGGGACCCCACCGUGGUCACCGUGAGCUGCCCCGACAAGACGGGCCUGGGCUGCGACCUCUGCCGCCUCGUCCUCCUCUUCGGCCUCAACGUCCACAAGGGCGACAUGAGCACCGACGGCCGCUGGUGCUACAUCGUGCUCUGGGUCGCCGCGCGCCGAGGCCGGGCCGUCGCCUGGGACGUCCUCAAGGACCGCCUCGUCGACCUCUGCCCCGUCCCGGCGCCCUUCGGCGUCGACAGCGCCUACCUCGCCGCCGCCGGCCUCCAGGACCCCGACGCCGAGCCCCAGGUGUUCCUGCUCAAGUUCUGCUGCUACGACCGGAUGGGCCUCCUCCACGACGUGACGUGCGUGCUCUCCGAGAUGGAACUCACAAUUAGGAGGGUCAAGGUCUCCACCACGCCAGAUGGGAGAGUGAUGGACCUUUUCUUCAUCACUGAUGCUAGGGAACUUCUACACACAAAGAGCAGGAGGGAAGAGGCCUAUGAAAAGCUCCAGAGUGUCUUAGGCGACUCCGUGACGAGUUGCGAAAUAGAAUCCGCGACGGAGGACAUGUCUUGUUGCCUCCAAGCUUCAGCAUUGUUGUCGCCUGUUGUCCUGGAGCAGAUGUUCAGCGAGGUAGAUGCCAUAGAGGAGCAAUCGAGGUCCAGCGGUAGCCUGUCGGUCACUAUGGACAACUCCCUCAGCCCCGUGCACACCCUGAUUCAGAUACAGUGCGGCGACCACAAGGGCCUCCUGUACGACAUCAUGAGAACAGUCAAGGACUGCAACAUCCAGAUUUCGUAUGGCCGGUUCUACGCGGGCCAGAAGGGCCGGUGCGAGGUGGAUCUGUUCGCGGUGCAGUCGGAUGGGAACAAGAUACUUGACCAGCAGAAACAGAGAAGCAUGUGCUCCCGCCUGAGGAUGGAGCUGCUGCGGCCGCUCCGCGUGGCGUUGGUGAACCGGGGCCCCGACUCGGAGCUGCUGGUGGCGAACCCGGUGGAGGUGUCCGGGAAGGGCAGACCGCUGGUGUUGUAUGACAUCACGCUCGCGCUUAAGAACCUCCAUAGACGAGUCUUCUUGGCUGAGAUCGGAAGGCAUGUGGUGGACGAUCGGGAAUGGGAAGUGUACAGGGUGCACCUGGGGGAGGACGAACACGAGCUCUCGUGCUCGGUGCGGAGCAAGAUCGUCGACAGCGUCACCAACAUGCUCAUGGGCUGGGACUGA